rnacentral:misc_RNA from 1 species
GGGAAGGUCUGCAUACACUCUACCCUCCGCAGACUCCACCUGGGUGAUCUCACUGUUGUUCUGUGAACGCAGUCUAAUUGUGUAUCAGCUGAUGAAUUACCAUAGUUAUUUGUUGCAAUUUCAUUGAGUUUGCUCUUUCAAUAUAACAUGGUAUACUAGGCAAUUCUGAUCCUCUGGCUCGGUCAAUAUGUGCUAAUGGCCAUUUGAUGAAUAUUGGCUAAAUGUAGUCAGCUUUUUCUCUAUAAGAGCACAUACUGAUCAAUAAUGGGGUAACAUGAUUUGGAAUUCAACACAUCUGGCUGUUGCUAGAGUGGUAUAUGAACGUCGUCCUUUUGUUGCAGGAAAAUUCAAUAUGGAACAAAAUGAUACAGGCUGCCAAGCUCCUCAAGCUCCUGUCCUUUGUGUUAACAAUUGUGGGUUUUUUGGUACUGCAGCAACAAUGAACAUGUGCUCAAAGUGCUACAAGGAUAUGAUAUUCAAGCAAGAACAAGCAAACUUUGCUGCUUCAUCUAUUGAAAGCUUUGUAAAUGGAAGUUCAAAUGCUAGUGUGAAAGCUGUUGAUGUUGCUGUCACCGUGCAGGAAGGUCCUGCAGAGUCCCUGGUUAUACCCACACAAGUCGCGGUACCAGUAGAGAGUGAACAAGUUGAGAAGGCUAAGGAGGGGCCAAACAGGUGCAGCACCUGUAGGAGACGAGUUGGUUUGACCGGCUUCAACUGCCGAUGUGGGAAUCUUUUCUGCUCAGCUCAUCGCUACUCAGACAAACAUGAGUGUCCAUAUGAUUAUCGCAAGGCUGGUCAAGAUGCUAUUGCGAAAGCCAACCCAGUUGUUAAGGCUGAAAAGCUUGACAAAAUAUGAAGGAACAUCCUGAGUUUAUGAGCUGCAGUAUUAUUGAAGACGUCUUCCAUACCCAUCUGGUGACUUCUACUGUUUGGUGCCUAGGAUCUCGAGGGGGUCGAGAGAGAGAAUCAUAAGGCAUCUUUACAACUUGAGGGGUCGUAAUGUUGGUAUCAAGUAAGAAAUGUUGUGGUUUCCAUCUUUAGUGCUUGUUUUGUGCUUGUGAUGGACAUUCUUUUGGUUUAUCUUUUGAUGUAGUAAUUCCAAUUUUAGUAAACAUAAAAGUUGGUGUUCUCUAGUAUAAAAGCAGUGUUUCCUACUAUCAAAUCC